AUGUACCUACGGGGCGCAGCAGUAGGGAAUCUUCCACAAUGGACGAAAGUCUGAUGGAGCAACGCCGCGUGAGUGAAGAAGGGUUUCGGCUCGUAAAGCUCUGUUGGUAGUGAAGAAAGAUAGAGGUAGUAACUGGCCUUUAUUUUACGGUAAUUACUUAAAAAGUCACGGCUAACUACGUGCCAGCAGCCGCGGUAAUACGUAGGUGGCAAGCGUUGUCCGGAUUUAUUGGGCGUAAAGCGAGUGCAGGCGGUUUAAUAAGGCUGAUUUGAAAGCCUUCGGCUCAAACGG
rnacentral:rRNA from 1 species